rnacentral:rRNA from 1 species
UACGUAGGGGGCAAGCGUUUGUCCGGAAUUAUUGGGCGUAAAGCGCGUGUAGGCGGUCCGGUAAGUCGGAUGUGAAAUCUCCAGGCUCAACCUGGAGGGGUCAUUCGAUACUGCCGUGACUAGAGGUCGGUAGGGGAGUGUGGAAUUCCUGGUGGAGCGGUGAAAUGCGCAGAUAUCAGGAGGAACACCCGUAGCGAAGGCGGCACUCUGGGCCGAUACUGACACUGAGGAGCGAAAGCGUGGGGAGCGAACAGG